rnacentral:rRNA from 1 species
AUUGAACGCUGGCGGCAUGCCUUACACAUGCAAGUCGAACGGUAACGCGGGGGCAACCCUGGCGACGAGUGGCGAACGGGUGAGUAAUACAUCGGAACGUACCCAGUAGUGGGGGAUAGCUCGGCGAAAGCCGGAUUAAUACCGCAUACGACCCAUGGGUGAAAGCGGGGGAUCGCAAGACCUCGCGCUAUUGGAGCGGCCGAUGUCGGAUUAGCUAGUUGGUGAGGUAAAGGCNCACCAAGGCUACGAUCCGUAGCUGGUCUGAGAGGACGACCAGCCACACUGGGACUGAGACACGGCCCAGACUCCUACGGGAGGCAGCAGUGGGGAAUUUUGGACAAUGGGCGCAAGCCUGAUCCAGCCAUGCCGCGUGUGUGAAGAAGGCC